rnacentral:rRNA from 1 species
AAUAGAUACCCCGGUAGUCCACGCCGUAAACUAUGAACACUAGGUGUGGGGGGUAUCGACCCCCUCGGCGCCGCAGCUAACGCAUUAAGCACUCCGCCUGGGGAGUACGGUCGCAAGACUGAAACUCAAAGGAAUUGACGGGGGCCCGCACAAGCGGUGGAGCAUGUGGUUUAAUUCGAAGCAACGCGAAGAACCUUACCAGGUCUUGACAUCCUCUGACAACUCUAGAGAUAGAGCGUUCCCCUUCGGGGGACAGAGUGACAGGUGGUGCAUGGUUGUCGUCAGCUCGUGUCGUGAGAUGUUGGGUUAAGUCCCGCAACGAGCGCAACCCUUGAUCUUAGUUGCCAGCAUUUAGUUGGGCACUCUAAGGUGACUGCCGGUGACAAACCGGAGGAAGGUGGGGAUGACGUCAAAUCAUCAUGCCCCUUAUGACCUGGGCUACACACGUGCUACAAUGGAUGGUACAAAGGGCUGCAAGACCGCGAGGUCAAGCCAAUCCCAUAAAACCAUUCUCAGUUCGGA